GGAAGGAUGGCAGAGCGGUUGAAUGCACUGGUCUUGAAAACCAGCAAGGGUGCAAGCCCUUCCAGGGUUCGAAUCCCUGUCCUUCCG
rfam:Rhodospirillales bacterium 47_12_T64 BD02T64_scaffold_2466, whole genome shotgun sequence.